AGAAGUGAAAGGCUUCACUCUUUCGAAGGAUUUGGUAGAAAUCGCAUCUCCAAUGACCGGUGAUUCUAUCUAGAAUAGAAUUUAUGUUAAAAUUUGGUUUUAUGUGAAUGCUGAAUAUAAGUUAGAAGUUGUGGUUUUUUUUUGGUUUUGGUGAAGUAUAGGAGAGGAGUUUCGUUGCUUUUUACAGCAUCACCGGUCAUUGGAGAAGAAGAUAGAGUCCAAGUUGUCAGUAAUUUUUUCUUUUAAAUGGAAACAUAAUAAGUUGGGAAUUUUGGGUCAAGUUUGUUGGAUUUUUUUGCAUGGAAUUUUUGUUGAGUUUCUGGUACUAGGAAGUACAUCCUCGUCGAGACAAGUACCCUCCACCCCUAAGGUUGGGAAAACCUGGAAAAUACCGUACUUGGGUCUCUUCCGAUCAUCACCCUCGAAGGAGGUUGGAUGAGAAACACACCUUCACUUGUGUAGAAGCAACAGGUUUUAUAAUUAAAAUUUGCAUGUCAAUUUAUUUAAUAAUACCUUUAAAUUUUACUCUUUUUGUCAAUAACUGUUAACUUACUUUAAUAAUAAUAUAUUUUCAUUUUUCUUAAAAUAUAAUUAACCUAAUAACAUUCAAUAUUUUCGAUAAAUUUAAUCUUUCCACUGUUUUUAUCAUUUGUUUACAAUAGUUUGAAGGUUGUAAACCAUCUUGUUGUGCACAAUAUUCGGGAGUUUAGAACCUUAUUUUAUAACCUAUUUAAUAAAAUUUAUUUCAUCGGUCAGGUAUUGUCACUUCCGAUCAGAUACGAGAUUGUCAGCCAAUCUUGUAUCCCUCAUUAAUCAUAAGUUUGUACACACUGUUUGAUAGAAUUAAUUUCUUACAUAUUUUUCAUAUUGUAAAACCUGCGUUAUCGACAGGAACGUACUAGCCUAGUACGUCCGGUAGUUUAGCUAAUUGUGUAAAAAUUGUAUAUAGGGGCUAUAGGUAUUUUAUUUGAUUAAAUUUGGUUGUACAUACUUAUAUGUUUUAUUAUCCUACCAUUUUAAUAGUAUCUAUUAAUAGUAUUAGUUAGGUGCAGCAAUACAAGUCACUCGGCGAAGAAUUCAUUCAAUCCUUCCCUGGCGCCCGCAUACGUUCUCAGUAAUAUCUUCUCGGUCAGUAGUUCUCUUCCUUUUCAUUACCCCUUAUACUAAUUUAUUUUCUUUAUCAUUUACGUAUUUCAUUAGGUACCGUCUUAGUAGGGCAUGCAAAUUGGCCUAAUCCUCCCUUGAGCCCUACUGAUAAAGUCUCUUGAAUUACCAGCUAGCCUGUUUCCGAAAAACUUUAGUCAUUUAUUAAGCUACCCCACUCAAA
rnacentral:lncRNA from 1 species